UCUAAAUAGAACUCACAAUAAGGUAAAAUAAUAUAUAUUUCCAGGAUAAAUGACCACACUAGAGAGAAGAUCAAUCUAAUGAUCACUUUAAUUUCGCUACUGGUCGCACAGCUAUGUUAUCACUCAAUCUGUGGUGUGCUUUAGCUGUGUUUGCAACGGGAAGUUUAACGUUUUGCAGAAAAACAUCAUAAUUGUGAAAACAUUUCCAUUUUAAAUUUUACUGCUUGCUGAAAAUGUUUUCGUACAUUAUAUUAUUAAGCUAUAAAAGAACUUCUGUCAUUUAAAGCUCACAGUUUGUAAAUGACGCGUAGUUGAGCUUUAUCAGAUAACAGUGCAUCCUCUACAUGAAAAAAGAAAAAAAUUCUUUGCCCAAUUUAAUUCCUUGUAUUUCCUGAUACUCACAGUUCUUCUUCUGCCACCCCCAUCGUUUUCACAUCCUUUCUCUCCCUCUUUUUUUCUUCCCCUUCCUUUCUUUUUCUCGCAUCCACCCACGAUCAAUAGUGUGUAUUCUUGACGCGCACACAUUGUACUCAAAGAGGAUACAGACAUGCGUAUGAUAUGCUCGUAACUUCGGUAAUUGGAAAUAACUCCAUUGCAAAUUUCCUUGAUAACUAGUUUUAUAGUAAUUUCAAAUUGAUUUGGAUACAUUUAAUCGUGCAACAACGAUUAAAGCAACAAUGACAUACUAUGAUACAUAUAAUUACAUGUUAGGUUUAUGAUGCUGAAUGCAUUUGGUAAUCAGAGUAAUUUCUCUUGUUAAAAAUUGAAUCAAUUUUACCUCUAUCAAAAUUUAAUUGAAUUCUUAUACACUUUUUACGCUUUCCGUAAAAAUUUACUCACGGUUAUUUUAUGUACAUAUUGAAAAUGUAGCACAAAGUUUUACAUAAAUAAGUUUAUAUUUCUGUUAUUUUUUUCUGAGAGAAAACAUGAAACAUACAAAAGAUUCAUGGAAGAUAUUUUACUCUGUCGUCAGAGUAAAAUAGAGAUCUUUAUUACUUUAAUUUUUACUGCGUAAUGUCGUCAUUUCUACAAAUCUACAAUUAUACUUUAUCAGUUAUUGUGAUGUCAUCGAUAUACAUCAUACAUGUGCUCAUACUGUAUUUAAUACUUUUAAUAAAUUAUAAAUUAUAAAUCGUCUCGAUAAGGAGGGAAAAGUCGCGAAUUUGAAACUACAUUUCCCACAAAUUAUUUUACAUUUUUCUGUUGCUCAUACGCGGCCAUUUCCCAUCUCACAUUAACGGUUAUCCCAACCGAUACCACGCAAUUGCUACGAUAACGAUAACGACCAUCCUCCAUCUUGAUUUAGGCUCGCUUUCUCGCUUGGACUCUUUCCUCUCUUAGCGAGCAAGUUUUUGCGGUGUUCCUUUCGCGCCCUCGAAUACCAGUGAUGAAUGAAUCUUGGCGAAUCUCCAGAACGACGGGUAGAAAAAAGAUAUCCCAGCCCAUGCAGGAAUUACUCGAAGACGAUGACAUUGAGGGGCGGGAAGGAAGAGAGAAAAGGGCAGAAGAGGUGGGCCAAUAGAAGAAAUGGCAACACAAGCAGUUGAGGGUGGUUGGAGCCGAAGGGGGCGGAAGAAAAGUCUGCUGACGACGCCGGCAUUUGGUAUGAUUGAUCGAAGCCACUGUAGCUCAAGCAGAUGAUCGUUAAUGAUAUCUAUCGACGUUGAGAAUCCCCGAUCCAUUAUUAACGCUGUCAUCAAUAACAUCUCUUCCGCGAAGUGCUUGUACUUUGGCGCGUCUUGAAAUACGACAUGAGAAACGCAGAGAGAAUCAUUAGAGAGUACAUUUAAAGAGUAAAAAAAAGGAGUACAUUUUUGGCAAUUGAAAAAGAAGGAAAAAAAAAACUAUGACCAUCUAUCCUGGAUUUAAUCUAUGUAAAUACAAAUAUUUAGAUAAUAAUAAAUAUUCUGAUACAAAA
rnacentral:lncRNA from 1 species